rnacentral:rRNA from 1 species
UACGUAGGGGGCAAGCGUUGUCCGGAUUUAUUGGGCGUAAAGAGCUCGUAGGUGGUUCGGUAAGUCGGAUGUGAAAUCUCCAGGCUCAACCUGGAGGGGUCAUUCGAUACUGCCGUGACUAGAGGUCGGUAGGGGAGUGUGGAAUUCCUGGUGUAGCGGUGAAAUGCGCAGAUAUCAGGAAGAACACCUAUGGCGAAGGCAGCUCUCUGGGACGGUACUGACGCUGAGACGCGAAAGCCAGGGGAGCGAACGGG